UAAACUUGCAGGUUCCAAAGCACUCUCUGUGUAAUGUAGCUUCUUUUUGGUUCAGGUGUACCAUACUUCUAUCUCAAUCCAGUUUUCAUCCCACUGUGUCCAACAAUAGUUUUUCUUCGACUGCAUAAAUUUCCAGGGUGCCUCGGGAGCGUGAGUUCGGGUUGUGUCUUUCAUCCACUAACCAUCCUUCCAUCACGCCUCUGGUUUUUAUCCAUCAAUCUGUAACCCAACAUCCAAACAGUUGAAAAUAAAAGAAAUCAAAG
rnacentral:lncRNA from 1 species